UACGUAGGUGGCAAGCGUUGUCCGGAAUUACUGGGUGUAAAGCGCGUGUAGGCGGGAGGCCAAGUCUGUGGUGAAAUCGCCUGGCUUAACUGGGCGGGGUCCAUGGAAACUGGUCACCUGGAGGUCGGUAGAGGCAAGUGGAAUUCCCGGUGUAGUGGUGAAAUGCGUAGAGAUCGGGAGGAACACCAGUGGCGAAGGCGGCUUGCUGGGCCGGACCUGACGCUGAGACGCGAAAGCGUGGGUAGCAAACAGG
rnacentral:rRNA from 1 species